rnacentral:tRNA from 1 species
AAUAAAGUGCCUGAUAAAAGGAUCACUCUGAUACUGUGAUUAUGUGUUUUCACCUUUAUUU